AAAAUCAUCUGACAAAUGCCUUUCCAAGGAUGUCGAAUGUAUAUAUAAAGAAAAAGCUUAGGAUUGCUAAGGGAGUGGUAUUUUGGUGAGGAUUUCAUUUUCUUCUACUCCAUGGAAACGAGCCUUUUGAGCUUUUGCUUGUCUGCUGAUUUGUCCGGUGAUCCAGGUUUCCCCUCAAAAAACCUAUAAGGCAUGGAAGUAUUUUGAACCGAGAGUCACCAACAGAUAAGAAGCAGAAAGUUGAGCGCAUUGCAUCACAUGAUUUUGACCCCACAGAUAGCUCCUCCAAGAAGACAAAGUCUAGUUCAGAGGAGAGUAGAUCCGAGAUAUAUGGUCUUGUUCAGCGUUGCGUAAUCAUCCAGAAAGAUGACAAUGGAUUUGGGCUGACGGUCAGUGGAGACAAUCCAGUCUUCGUACAGUCUGUCAAAGAAGAUGGAGCAGCCAUGCGGGCUGGAGUACAGACAGGUGAUCGAAUCAUCAAGGUGAAUGGAACUCUGGUGACUCACUCAAAUCAUCUGGAGGUGGUGAAGCUAAUCAAAUCUGGUUCCUAUGUAGCUCUCACUGUUCAGGGACGCCCACCUGGGUCGCCCCAGAUUCCACUUGCCGACUCUGAAGUAGAGCCGUCAGUCAUUGGACAUAUGUCUCCCAUCAUGACAUCUCCUCACUCACCUGGAGCAUCUGGGAAUAUGGAGAGAAUCACUAGUCCUGUGCUCAUGGGGGAGGAAAACAAUGUGGUUCAUAACCAGAAAGUAGAAAUUCUCAGAAAAAUGUUACAGAAAGAACAGGAACGGCUACAGUUAUUGCAGGAAGAUUACAACCGAACACCUGCCCAAAGAUUGCUAAAAGAGAUCCAAGAGGCCAAGAAACACAUUCCUCAGCUGCAAGAGCAGUUAUCCAAAGCCACAGGCUCUGCUCAGGAUGGAGCUGUAGUUACACCCUCCAGACCUUUAGGGGACACCCUAACAGUCAGUGAGGCAGAAACAGAUCCUGGAGAUGUACUGGGCAGGACUGACUGUAGCAGUGGAGAUGUUUCUCGGCCCAGUAGUGACAAUGCAGAUAGUCCCAAGAGUGGCCCAAAAGAGAGAAUUUAUCUAGAGGAAAACCCAGAGAAAAGUGAAACAAUUCAGGACACUGACACUCAAUCACUUGUCGGAAGUCCCUCAACCCGUAUAGCACCUCAUAUUAUUGGAGCAGAAGAUGAUGAUUUUGGUACUGAACAUGAACAGAUCAAUGGACAGUGCAGCUGUUUCCAGAGCAUUGAAUUACUAAAAUCUCGCCCGGCUCAUUUGGCUGUUUUCUUACACCAUGUAGUUUCACAAUUUGACCCUGCGACUUUGCUCUGUUAUCUCUAUUCAGACCUGUAUAAACAUACCAAUUCCAAAGAAACUCGUCGCAUCUUCCUUGAGUUUCAUCAGUUCUUUCUAGAUCGAUCAGCACACCUGAAAGUUUCUGUUCCUGAUGAAAUGUCUGCAGAUCUAGAAAAGAGAAGACCUGAGCUCAUUCCUGAGGAUCUGCAUCGCCACUAUAUCCAAACUAUGCAAGAAAGAGUCCAUCCAGAAGUUCAAAGGCACUUAGAAGAUUUUCGGCAGAAACGUAGUAUGGGACUGACCUUGGCUGAAAGCGAGCUGACUAAACUUGAUGCAGAGCGAGACAAGGACCGAUUGACUUUGGAGAAGGAGCGGACAUGUGCAGAACAGAUUGUUGCCAAAAUUGAAGAAGUAUUGAUGACUGCUCAGGCUGUAGAGGAAGAUAAGAGCUCCACCAUGCAGUAUGUUAUUCUCAUGUAUAUGAAGCAUUUGGGAGUAAAAGUGAAAGAGCCUCGAAAUUUGGAGCACAAACGGGGUCGGAUUGGAUUUCUUCCCAAAAUCAAGCAAAGUAUGAAGAAAGAUAAAGAAGGGGAAGAAAAAGGGAAGCGAAGAGGAUUCCCCAGCAUCCUGGGACCCCCACGGAGACCAAGCCGUCAUGACAACAGUGCAAUUGGCAGAGCCAUGGAACUACAGAAGGCGCGCCACCCUAAGCACUUAUCCACACCCUCAUCUGUGAGUCCUGAACCUCAGGACUCUGCCAAGUUGCGCCAGAGUGGGUUAGCAAAUGAAGGAACAGACGCUGGAUACCUGCCUGCCAAUUCCAUGUCUUCUGUAGCUUCAGGGGCCUCUUUUUCCCAGGAAGGAGGGAAAGAGAAUGAUACAGGAUCAAAGCAAGUUGGAGAAACAUCAGCACCUGGAGACACCUUAGAUGGCACACCUCGUACUCUCAAUACUGUCUUUGAUUUCCCACCACCUCCAUUAGACCAAGUGCAGGAGGAGGAAUGUGAAGUAGAAAGGGUGACAGAACAUGGGACACCAAAGCCCUUUCGAAAGUUUGACAGUGUAGCUUUUGGAGAAAGUCAAAGUGAGGAUGAACAAUUUGAAAAUGACUUAGAGACAGAUCCACCCAACUGGCAGCAGCUUGUUAGUCGAGAAGUGUUACUGGGACUAAAACCUUGUGAAAUCAAAAGACAGGAAGUGAUUAAUGAAUUGUUCUACACUGAAAGAGCUCAUGUUCGAACACUGAAGGUUCUUGAUCAAGUGUUCUAUCAGCGAGUAUCCAGAGAAGGAAUUCUGUCACCCUCAGAGCUACGGAAAAUUUUUUCAAACUUGGAAGAUAUUCUUCAACUUCAUAUUGGAUUGAAUGAACAAAUGAAGGCUGUUCGAAAGAGAAAUGAGACCUCUGUUAUCGAUCAGAUUGGGGAAGAUUUGCUGACAUGGUUCAGCGGACCAGGAGAGGAGAAAUUGAAACAUGCUGCUGCUACCUUUUGCAGUAACCAACCUUUCGCCCUGGAAAUGAUCAAGUCUCGUCAGAAAAAGGAUUCUCGAUUUCAGACUUUUGUGCAAGAUGCUGAAAGUAAUCCACUGUGUCGUCGUCUUCAACUGAAGGAUAUUAUUCCCACUCAAAUGCAAAGGCUUACUAAGUACCCACUUCUGUUGGAUAAUAUUGCCAAAUACACAGAAUGGCCAACAGAAAGGGAGAAGGUGAAGAAAGCUGCAGAUCACUGUCGUCAGAUCUUAAAUUAUGUAAAUCAGGCCGUCAAGGAGGCAGAAAACAAGCAGCGCCUAGAAGAUUAUCAGCGUCGCCUUGAUACCUCCAGCCUGAAGUUGUCAGAGUACCCAAAUGUUGAAGAGCUCAGGAAUUUGGAUUUAACAAAAAGGAAGAUGAUUCAUGAAGGGCCAUUGGUUUGGAAGGUGAAUAGAGAUAAAACUAUUGAUUUAUACACAUUGCUGCUGGAAGACAUUCUUGUAUUGUUACAAAAGCAGGAUGAUAGACUGGUUUUAAGGUGUCAUAGUAAGAUUCUGGCAUCUACAGCUGAUAGCAAACACACGUUUAGCCCUGUCAUUAAGUUGAGUACAGUGUUGGUUCGACAAGUGGCAACAGAUAACAAAGCUUUAUUCGUCAUUUCCAUGUCAGACAAUGGCGCUCAGAUUUAUGAACUGGUGGCACAGACAGUUUCUGAAAAGACUGUCUGGCAGGACCUAAUCUGUCGGAUGGCUGCAUCAGUGAAGGAGCAAUCCACAAAGCCAAUUCCAUUACCACAGUCAACACCUGGCGAAGGAGAUAAUGAUGAAGAAGAUCCUUCAAAAUUAAAAGAGGAGCAGCAUGGCAUUUCAGUCACUGGUUUGCAGAGUCCAGGUACACUCUUCUGAAGAGUUCAAUGGAGAAUGUGCUCUAUUAUCUGUUAAAAUGCUGGCCGGAUGCGGUGGCUCAUGCCUAUAAUCCCAGUGCUUUGGGAGGUCGGGAUAGGCAUAUCAC
rnacentral:sRNA from 1 species